rnacentral:rRNA from 1 species
UACGUAGGAGGCGAGCGUUGUCCGGAGUUACUGGGCGUAAAGGGUGCGCAGGCGGCGUUCCGCGUGGCGAGAUGAAAUCUCCCUGGCUUACCUGGGAGGUGGUCGCCAGACGGGAGCGCUUGAGGGUCGGAGAGGGCGUGGAAUUCCGGGUGGAAGCGGUGAAUGCGUAGAGAUCCGGAGGAACACCGACGGCGUAGGCAGCGCCCUGGACGACACCUGACGCUGAGGCACGAAAGCUGGGGGAGCGAACAGG